GAUGAAGAACGCAGCGAAAUGCGAUACUUGGUGUGAAUUGCAGAAUCCCGUGAACCAUCGAGUCUUUGAACGCAAGUUGCGCCCGAAGCCAUUAGGCCGAGGGCACGCCUGCCUGGGCGUCACACGUCGUUGCCCCCCCAUCUACUCCUUCGGGAUGGCGGGGGGCGGAUGAUGGCCUCCCGUGCGCCUCGCCGCGCGGUUGGCAUAAAUGCCAAGUCCUCGGCGACGCACGCCACGACAAUCGGUGGUUGCGAAACCUCGGUUGCCCGUCGUGUGCGGUCGUCGCGCAUCGAGGGCUCGAAAAAAUUGCCGGGUUCCGGCUCGGCUUUCAACGCGACCCCAGGUCAGGCGGGGUUACCCGCUGAAUUUAAGCAUAUCAAUAAGCGGAGGA
rnacentral:misc_RNA from 1 species